UCGAGAAUUUCUCUCAAUGGGCGCAAGCCUGAAGGAGCGACGCCGCGUGGGGGAUGAAGGGUUUCGAUCCGUAAACCCCUGUCAUUUGUGAACAAUGGUUAUCGUUUAAGAGAUGAUGACUUGAUAGUAAUGAAAGAGGAAGGGACGGCUAACUCUGUGCCAGCAGCCGCGGUAAUACAGAGGUCCCGAGCGUUGUUCGGAUUCACUGGGCGUAAAGGGUGCGUAGGUGGCUUUGAAAGUUUGAUGUGAAAUCUCCGGGCUCAACCCGGAAAAUGCAUUGAAUACUGCAGAGCUGGAGGUUUGGAGGGGGGACUGGAAUUCUCGGUGUAGCAGUGAAAUGCGUAGAUAUCGAGAGGAACACCAGUGGCGAAGGCGAGUCCCUGGACAACACCUGACACUGAGGCACGAAAGCUAGGGGAGCAAACAG
rnacentral:rRNA from 1 species